CAAAGCUGAAAUGUGUGAAUCUCAGCUUAGCUAUCCCCUCUGUUUUUGUUACGAAGAUAGGUAGCUAGUUUUCCAAACAUAGGCCCUGAUUUUAUGCACUAACCCACAGAGCCAGGCCCCUUCACUUUGAAGUCAAUGGGACUGUGCAUAGGGUCUGGGUCUAACCAAGCAGAAUAGCUGGCCAGAUAGAAAUCUAACAGAAUUUUUACUCCUUUGACCCUGUUUUUAUAUUUUUUAAAUGUUCGACCUUAAUUCCAGAUUGAAUUUCCUGACUAGCAUGUGUUUGAAAUGUCAGAUUUAACAAAUGAUACUUUAUUAAUUAUAUUAAUUAAUUAUUAUUUUAUUACUCAGACAUACUACUGAAUUAAAAAGAAAAAGUCACCACCAACAUCCUCCAGGAUAUUCCAACUGGUUGCCUAGUUUACAAACUAGACAGCAAACUUUUCAUUGCAGUAUGCAAAAAGAUCCCACUUUGCAAAAUAGAAGAGGAAGUGCUGUUUUGGAGAAGACCCUCACAUAGUGAAGCAGCCGAGAACCUACCCAAAGCCAGGGAGGGACAGAGUGGCCGACCUGUGCAGGAGCCAGGAGGAGCACAGUGCCAAGGAGGAAUCACCCAAGAAGGACAAACCGGAGCUGGGCCCAGUACGCUGUCUGCCCUGAGCUGUAUGGGUCCAUUUGAAGGCUGUUACAAGGGAGACAAUUAAAAUGGAGAUGAAGAGGUUGGAUACAUUACACAACCGACAAGAAGGUUCCAGUUACAUAUGCUAUCACAUGAAUAGUGGCUGACUUCCUUUCAUGUCUAGGAGCCAACUUUGGGCACCACCAGGCCUAAACACAGCCCAGGACUGUAUCUGGCAGCUGCUCUAGUGUCCAGAGAUGUAAGCAAAAGAAGCUGGCUGCUGGCUACAGCAGUUCGGUUUGCGUCAUUGUUGCUGUGACCAAAUAUAUUCCAUGGCUGAAAAGACAGUUUCUGCUGUUGCUCAGGCAGCUCCUCAAAACAAAAUCAUCAUGUUAUUUCUCUCUUGCUGACUCAUCCUGAAUUCCUUUCUUACUGCUUUUUUCCCCCACUCAAUGUUGCUGUCAAAGGAGCCUUUUAAUCACCUCCCCCACCCUUGUGCAUAGGUCACGUUCAUUUUUAGAUUUUAUUUAUUUUCCUGAUCCUUUUGUUUUUAUAUUGAAGCUCACUUAUUGAUUUGCCAUUGGAUUAUAGUCGUUUAUUAUCCUGAAACAAUGAGAGGCAGGAACAUCAAAACCUAGAUCAUUCCACAUGCAGUGAGGCUCUUCCUGCAGGGACCUCAGAGUUUCACUAGGGAAGUGGGCAAGUUAUUUCCAAGGCACACCCCUACACAUCGGCCCCUCUGAACUGGGGAUUGGGGGCAAGAAGGGAUUGAGCAAGGAAGGGACUGCUCUCCACAGAGCUAUUCCUAGCAUUGGACCCAGACAACCACAUGGAAAUCUUAGCAUGAAGUAAUAUAGCUUAGAACACUUCAACAGUUGCAUGGGGUAUCCAACGAAUAGCUGCACAGCUGCUGCCAGAGAGCAGUGUAUCCAAACCACCCACCAACAGAGGCAGCACUAAAUUUUUAUUUUAUUGUGUGCUUUGAGAUCUUUUAAUGGAAGGCAUUAUACAACUGUACAAUAUUUAGAAUAUUCCAUAUUAAAUCAAAAGCAAAACACUUCCAAGUUGCUAUCUGUCUAUCAUUUGUAAUUUACAAUUAAUCUAGGACUAGAAGUAGGCUUGCAAAGUGCUGGGCUGGCCAUUUGUACAGUUUGAACUGUAUAUGCAAACUCUGCCCAGGUUAAACUCCCAUGGAAGUUGGGAAAGCAGGAUCUGGCAUUUUGUGUUACUAGCAAAUAAUGUGCUGAAAUUUCUUAAUUCCUAGGGGGUAUUAGAUUUAUCUAAACUCCAAUUUGCCUGAUAAAUCAAUGAAUGGUCCUCAGGGCAGUCAGCAGGAGGUUUUGCUUACUGUGUUUUGACAGACACCAUAAGAGCUCUCCCUGUUCCUACACAUUGCCUGAAUUCUCCUUCAUCUCUCAUCUGUGCCUGCCCAAAUUUGAGCAAGCACCCAGCUCCACUGUGUAAAAUAAUACUUUAUUUUAAAUGAUUGAAAUAAAGCUCUCUUUGUUCAUGAAAGGUCUCCAUUAUUUUGAGCAAAAAAGUGACCUCAUUCUGAUAGAAUUGUCCCAUUAAUCGUCAGAGGGAGGCUGGGGCUUUGCACUGCCUCAGCUGAGAAAGAACGUCACUCCAGAAGGUGGAUCUGAAGGGUCCAAAAAGAUGUUUAUUAAAUUGCUUCAACAAUAGAAAAAAGGAAGGGGAUGGACUAACUGAAUCCCAAAUAAUGAGAGAGAAAGCAAAAGUAGCACGAGGCUAAUGCUGAACAGAGUGCGCAGACAACAUUCAACCAUCCCCCAGGCCCAACCGUGCAGGAGCCUCUAACGCCAGGUAACCUACUGCUUGCCUUCUAUGGGCUCCCAGAACUCUCUCUCAAAAAGGGACUGCAGACUUCAUUUUCUGUGGACACAAAUAGAAAUGCACCUAAACAAAACCUCCUUUAUUGUAUAUAUUAAAGGCUUGUGUUUGAGCCUCCUGCUGUGUUCUCUUCAAUAGGGUCUGAAAAAGAGGUACAAUAUAUGGAGCUAUUUAGGCUAAUUGCCUAAUACAUUUUUUUUUUUAAAUCUGGUAAUACUAGUUCCAGCCAUUUUUCCUUCUAGAAUUUGACCCACAGAAAUGAACUCUGGACGAGCAGAUAAGUAGAUGGGAUACAGCAGAGAGAGGAAGUUUUCUCCAGCCACUGGUUCUAAAUUGAUUUCCAGUUAUCAUUCUUGGAUUGACAUUAACAAUCUGAACCAUUUUAAAAACAGAAUCAUCAUCACAACAGCUACCUAUAAUAUAGUGGUUACCUUAAGUUCUUUGAGAGUCUGAAAUUCAGGAAACCUGAAUUAAUCUACAUCACUGUGUAGACUAACUGAAUCACCUUGUUCUGUCAGCGAGUUAUGAACACUGGAAAUCCUUCAUUCCUUGUGCCUACAACACGCUCUCAGUGACUUUAGUCAAAGCUCCAUGCUUGUGCAAACAAAUGCGGGAUCAGGCCCUUAGUCUUUUCCAUCUUACAGAAGACCAGGGCAGCUGGAACACUCACAUUUUUCCAUCUAGACAUUCUAUUCAUCAUUCAUUUCUAUGGGUAUUAUCUCUGUGAGUAAAAGUGACUGUGACUAGCCAGCCAGGAAGGGGCAAAGAGAAAAAUAUAUACCUGUGAGCUAUCAUUGUGAUACACAGAACUCAGGGUUGAUCUACAUGAGAAAGCUGCACCAGUUAAAGGUGUGAUUUUAAACGGAUGUUGGUAAAUUGGCACAAA